AGAGUUUGAUCCUGGCUCAGGACGAACGCUGGCGGCGUGCUUAACACAUGCAAGUCGAACGGUGACAUCAGAGCUUGCUCUGGUUGAUCAGUGGCGAACGGGUGAGUAACACGUGAGUAACCUGCCCUUGACUCUGGGAUAACUCCGGGAAACCGGGGCUAAUACCGGAUACGAGACGCGACCGCAUGGUCGGCGUCUGGAAAGUUUUUCGGUCAAGGAUGGACUCGCGGCCUAUCAGCUUGUUGGUGAGGUAAUGGCUCACCAAGGCGUCGACGGGUAGCCGGCCUGAGAGGGCGACCGGCCACACUGGGACUGAGACACGGCCCAGACUCCUACGGGAGGCAGCAGUGGGGAAUAUUGCACAAUGGGCGAAAGCCUGAUGCAGCGACGCCGCGUGAGGGAUGAAGGCCUUCGGGUUGUAAACCUCUUUCAGUAGGGAAGAAGCGAAAGUGACGGUACCUGCAGAAGAAGCGCCGGCUAACUACGUG
rnacentral:rRNA from 1 species